rnacentral:rRNA from 1 species
GACGAACGCUGGCGGCGUGCUUAACACAUGCCAGUCGAACGGAAAGGCCCUGCUUUUGUGGGGUGCUCGAGUGGCGAACGGGUGAGUAACACGUGAGUAACCUGCCCUUGACUUUGGGAUAACUUCAGGAAACUGGGGCUAAUACCGGAUAGGAGCUCCUGCUGCAUGGUGGGGGUUGGAAAGUUUCGGCGGUUGGGGAUGGACUCGCGGCUUAUCAGCUUGUUGGUGGGGUAGUGGCUUACCAAGGCUUUGACGGGUAGCCGGCCUGAGAGGGUGACCGGCCACAUUGGGACUGAGAUACGGCCCAGACUCCUACGGGAGGCAGCAGUGGGGAAUAUUGCACAAUGGGCGGAAGCCUGAUGCAGCAACGCCGCGUGCGGGACGACGGCCUUCGGGUUGUAAACCGCUUUCGCCUGUGACGAAGCGUGAGUGACGGUAAUGGGUAAAGAAGCACCGGCUAACUACGUG